GUGACUGCGUACCUUUUGUAUAAUGGGUCAGCGACUUAUAUUCUGUAGCAAGGUUAACCGAAUAGGGGAGCCGAAGGGAAACCGAGUCUUAACUGGGCGUUAAGUUGCAGGGUAUAGACCCGAAACCCGGUGAUCUAGCCAUGGGCAGGUUGAAGGUUGGGUAACACUAACUGGAGGACCGAACCGACUAAUGUUGAAAAAUUAGCGGAUGACUUGUGGCUGGGGGUGAAAGGCCAAUCAAACCGGGAGAUAGCUGGUUCUCCCCGAAAGCUAUUUAGGUAGCGCCUCGUGAACUCAUCUCCGGGGGUAGAGCACUGUUUCGGCAAGGGGGUCAUCCCGACUUACCAACCCGAUGCAAACUGCGAAUACCGGAGAAUGUUAUCACGGGAGACACACGGCGGGUGCUAACGUCCGUCGUGAAGAGGGAAACAACCCAGACCGCCAGCUAAGGUCCCAAAGUCAUGGUUAAGUGGGAAACGAUGUGGGAAGGCCCAGACAGCCAGGAUGUUGGCUUAGAAGCAGCCAUCAUUUAAAGAAAGCGUAAUAGCUCACUGGUCGAGUCGGCCUGCGCGGAAGAUGUAACGGGGCUAAACCAUGCACCGAAGCUGCGGCAGCGACGCUUAUGCGUUGUUGGGUAGGGGAGCGUUCUGUAAGCCUGUGAAGGUGUGCUGUGAGGCAUGCUGGAGGUAUCAGAAGUGCGAAUGCUGACAUAAGUAACGAUAAAGCGGGUGAAAAGCCCGCUCGCCGGAAGACCAAGGGUUCCUGUCCAACGUUAAUCGGGGCAGGGUGAGUCGACCCCUAAGGCGAGGCCGAAAGGCGUAGUCGAUGGGAAACAGGUUAAUAUUCCUGUACUUGGUGUUACUGCGAAGGGGGGACGGAGAAGGCUAUGUUGGCCGGGCGACGGUUGUCCCGGUUUAAGCGUGUAGGCUGGUUUUCCAGGCAAAUCCGGAAAAUCAAGGCUGAGGCGUGAUGACGAGGCACUACGGUGCUGAAGCAACAAAUGCCCUGCUUCCAGGAAAAGCCUCUAAGCAUCAGGUAACAUCAAAUCGUACCCCAAACCGACACAGGUGGUCAGGUAGAGAAUACCAAGGCGCUUGAGAGAACUCGGGUGAAGGAACUAGGCAAAAUGGUGCCGUAACUUCGGGAGAAGGCACGCUGAUAUGUAGGUGAAGUCCCUCGCGGAUGGAGCUGAAAUCAGUCGAAGAUACCAGCUGGCUGCAACUGUUUAUUAAAAACACAGCACUGUGCAAACACGAAAGUGGACGUAUACGGUGUGACGCCUGCCCGGUGCCGGAAGGUUAAUUGAUGGGGUCAGCGCAAGCGAAGCUCUUGAUCGAAGCCCCGGUAAACGGCGGCCGUAACUAUAACGGUCCUAAGGUAGCGAAAUUCCUUGUCGGGUAAGUUCCGACCUGCACGAAUGGCGUAAUGAUGGCCAGGCUGUCUCCACCCGAGACUCAGUGAAAUUGAACUCGCUGUGAAGAUGCAGUGUACCCGCGGCAAGACGGAAAGACCCCGUGAACCUUUACUAUAGCUUGACACUGAACAUUGAGCCUUGAUGUGUAGGAUAGGUGGGAGGCUUAGAAGUGUGGACGCCAGUCUGCAUGGAGCCGACCUUGAAAUACCACCCUUUAAUGUUUGAUGUUCUAACGUUGACCCGUAAUCCGGGUUGCGGACAGUGUCUGGUGGGUAGUUUGACUGGGGCGGUCUCCUCCUAAAGAGUAACGGAGGAGCACGAAGGUUGGCUAAUCCUGGUCGGACAUCAGGAGGUUAGUGCAAUGGCAUAAGCCAGCUUGACUGCGAGCGUGACGGCGCGAGCAGGUGCGAAAGCAGGUCAUAGUGAUCCGGUGGUUCUGAAUGGAAGGGCCAUCGCUCAACGGAUAAAAGGUACUCCGGGGAUAACAGGCUGAUACCGCCCAAGAGUUCAUAUCGACGGCGGUGUUUGGCACCUCGAUGUCGGCUCAUCACAUCCUGGGGCUGAAGUAGGUCCCAAGGGUAUGGCUGUUCGCCAUUUAAAGUGGUACGCGAGCUGGGUUUAGAACGUCGUGAGACAGUUCGGUCCCUAUCUGCCGUGGGCGCUGGAGAACUGAGGGGGGCUGCUCCUAGUACGAGAGGACCGGAGUGGACGCAUCACUGGUGUUCGGGUUGUCAUGCCAAUGGCACUGCCCGGUAGCUAAAUGCGGAAGAGAUAAGUGCUGAAAGCAUCUAAGCACGAAACUUGCCCCGAGAUGAGUUCUCCCUGACUCCUUGAGAGUCCUGAAGGAACGUUGAAGACGACGACGUUGAUAGGCCGGGUGUGUAAGCGCAGCGAUGCGUUGAGCUAACCGGUACUAAUGAACCGUGAGGCUUAACCUU
rnacentral:rRNA from 1 species